CUCGUAGGCGGUUCGACAAGUCGGGUGUGAAACCUCCAGGCUCAACCUGGAGUCGCCACUCGAAACUGUUGUGACUAGAGUCCGGUAGGGGAGCAUGGAAUUCCUGGUGUAGCGGUGGAAUGCGCAGAUAUCAGGAGGAACACCAGCGGCGAAGGCGAUGCUCUGGGCCGGUACUGACGCUGAGGAGCGAAAGCAUGGGAGCGAACA
rnacentral:rRNA from 1 species